GUUUCUUAUAUCCUUGAGGCCCUCUGAAGAGGUGGCUGCAUUUGAACAGCAGCACAGCUGGAACAUUAACUAACUAAAAGUGAAGUUAAUAACUGCAGACUUCCACACGAAGGUACAAUAUACAUCCUCAAGCCAGGGAAGCCCUACCGCAUCUGAGAAAGGCUGCCUUGCAGAAAUUCAGCUGCAACAACACAGACACAGGAAACAUCCUCAGCAAUUUCAGCUGAACACACAAUGCCAAACGACCACCCACCGAAGAGGGCAUUUGCCUCCCCUUUCUCACCCCUCAAGAUUACCGAGGGAAUGGCAUCAGCCAGGGAAGAAGCCCCCAGCACAGAAAAAGCAGGUGCCUCCUCUUUUAGUGUGGCCGCCCAUCUACCAGUUCAAUCCAGCACAGGUCAUGAGCCCAGGACCAGGAACACCACCACUAAGCAGCCAUCACCACACAGGAGCCACUAGAGCACCCCGGGAAGAGACAUCUUUAUCAGCUUUGUCAGGAGGGGAGCUCCCCCUCCCCACCCCACAGAGGGA
ensembl:lncRNA